UGCUGAUGCCUCAGCUCUUCAAAGUUCCAUCAAUAUCUGUAGACCUAUCCAAUUGAAAACCAACCAAUGGUUUAGAACUUCAGAUAAACAAAUAUCCACUAACCCCAACAAAACUGGAGAUUACAGGUGAAGUAAAACUUACCACAGGUUUCAGCCCAAACACCACCUGCAAUGACCAGUUGUGAGCAUUCCCUUAGCACUCCCUACUCCCAUGAUCGCCCUGCAUGAUGAAAAAC
rnacentral:lncRNA from 1 species